rnacentral:rRNA from 1 species
GACGAACGCUGGCGGCGUGCCUAAUACAUGCAAGUCGAACGCUUCUUUCCUCCCGAGUGCUUGCACUCAAUUGGAAAGAGGAGUGGCGGACGGGUGAGUAACACGUGGGUAACCUACCCAUCAGAGGGGGAUAACACUUGGAAACAGGUGCUAAUACCGCAUAACAGUUUAUGCCGCAUGGCAUAAGAGUGAAAGGCGCUUUCGGGUGUCGCUGAUGGAUGGACCCGCGGUGCAUUAGCUAGUUGGUGAGGUAACGGCUCACCAAGGCCACGAUGCAUAGCCGACCUGAGAGGGUGAUCGGCCACACUGGGACUGAGACACGGCCCAGACUCCUACGGGAGGCAGCAGUAGGGAAUCUUCGGCAAUGGACGAAAGUCUGACCGAGCAACGCCGCGUGAGUGAAGAAGGUUUUCGGAUCGUAAAACUCUGUUGUUAGGGAAGAACAAGGACGUUAGUAACUGAACGUCCUCUGACGGUAUCUAACCAGAAAGCCACGGCUAACUACGUG